AACGAACGCUGGCGGCGUGCUUAACACAUGCAAGUCGAACGCACCGCAAGGUGAGUGGCGCACGGGUGAGUAACGCGUGGGAAUCUACCUUUUGGUUCGGAAUAACACAGGGAAACUGGUGCUAAAACCGGAUACGCCCUUCGGGGGAAAAAUUUAUUGCCAAAAGAUGAGCCCGCGUUGGAUUAGCUAGUUGGUGAGGUAAUGGCUCACCAAGGCGACGAUCCAUAGCUGGUCUGAGAGGAUGAUCAGCCACACUGUGACUGAGACACGGCCCAGACUCCUACGGGAGGCAGCAGUGGGGAAUAUUGGACAAUGGGGGAAACCCUGAUCCAGCAACGCCGCGUGAGUGAUGAAGGUCUUCGGAUUGUAAAGCUCUUUUGGCAGGGACGAUGAUGACGGUACCUGCAGAAUAAGCUCCGGCUAACUUCGUGCCAGCAGCCGCGGUAA
rnacentral:rRNA from 1 species